rfam:Trametes cinnabarina, BRFM137, WGS project CCBP01000000 data, contig: scf184675
ACAUUGAUGGGGUAGUCGUAACCUGUGUUGUUGCCAUCGACCCGCCGGGGGUUCGAUUCCCUCUUAAUGCU